CCAAGGCUAAAUACUACUGACUGACCGAUAGUGAACCAGUACCGUGAGGGAAAGGCGAAAAGAACCCCUGUGAGGGGAGUGAAAUAGAACCUGAAACCGUGUACGUACAAGCAGUAGGAGCAGGCUUUGUCCUGUGACUGCGUACCUUUUGUAUAAUGGGUCAGCGACUUAUAUUCAGUGGCAAGGUUAACCAUCUAGGGGAGCCGUAGGGAAACCGAGUCUUAACUGGGCGUUCAGUCUCUGGAUAUAGACCCGAAACCAGGUGAUCUAGCCAUGGGCAGGUUGAAGGUUGAGUAACAUCAACUGGAGGAC
rnacentral:rRNA from 1 species